rnacentral:lncRNA from 1 species
GAAACCAAAGAUCCUCUCCGCGUACAGCCUCAUCUCAAGAAGUGCUUUGAGGGAAUUGCGCAGUUGACCUUUACCCCUGAGAAGGUCAUCGUAGGGAUGGAGUCAGCUGAAAAAGAGGCUGUAGAUUUCCCACGUCACAUCGUACCUGCUGAAACGAGGGGAUUAGUGGAGAAAUGGCUC